AAGCGUUAUCCGGAAUCAUUGGGUUUAAAGGGUCCGYWKGMGGUUUGGUAAGUCAGUGGUGAAAGCCCAUCGCUCAACGGUGGAACGGCCAUUGAUACUGCCAGACUUGAAUUAUUGGGAAGUAACUAGAAUAUGUAGUGUAGCGGUGAAAUGCUUAGAGAUUACAUGGAAUACCAAUUGCGAAGGCAGGUUACUACCAAUUGAUUGACGCUGAUGGACGAAAGCGUGGGGAGCGAACAGGAUUAGAUACCCUGGUAGUCCACGCCGUAAACGAUGGAUACUAGCUGUUGGGAGCAAUUUCAGUGGCUAAGCGAAAGUGAUAAGUAUCCCACCUGGGGAGUACGGGCGCAAGCCUG
rnacentral:rRNA from 1 species